rnacentral:rRNA from 1 species
AAUCAACGCUGGCGGCGUGCCUCAGACAUGCAAGUCGAACGAUUAAACUUUCCUUCGGGAAAGAUAUAAAGUGGCGCACGGGUGAGUAACACGUAGGUAAUGUACCUUUGGGUGGGGAAUAACCAUCGGAAACGAUGGCUAAUACCGCAUAAUGCAGCGGCAUCGCAAGAUGACAGUUGUUAAAGAUUUAUCGCCUAAAGAGCAGCCUGCGGCAGAUUAGGUAGNGGUAAGGUAAUGGCUUACCAAGCCUGCGAUCUGUAACCGACCUGAGAGGGUGGUCGGUCACACUGACACUGAAUAACGGGUCAGACUCCUACGGGAGGCAGCAGUCGGGAAUUUUGGGCAAUGGGCGAAGCCUGACCCAGCAACGCCGCGUGAAGGACGAAGUC